rnacentral:rRNA from 1 species
UACAGAGGUGGCAAGCGUUGUUCGGAAUUACUGGGCGUAAAGGGCGCGUAGGCGGCCCGUCAAGUCCCGUGUGAAAGCCCCCGGCUCAACCGGGGAACGGCGCGGGAAACUGGCAGGCUUGAGUUCGGGAGAGGGAAGCGGAAUUCCGGGUGUAGCGGUGGAAUGCGUAGAGAUCCGGAAGAACACCGGUGGCGAAGGCGGUCUGCUGGGCAGUUGCUGACACUGAGGCGCGACAGCGUGGGGAGCAAACAGG